GACGAACGCUGGCGGCGUGCUUAACACAUGCAAGUCGAACGGAAAGGCCCUGCUUUUGUGGGGUGCUCGAGUGGCGAACGGGUGAGUAACACGUGAGUAACCUGCCCUUGACUUUGGGAUAACUUCAGGAAACUGGGGCUAAUACCGGAUAGGAGCUCCUGCUGCAUGGUGGGGGUUGGAAAGUUUCGGCGGUUGGGGAUGGACUCGCGGCUUAUCAGCUUGUUGGUGGGGUAGUGGCUUACCAAGGCUUUGACGGGUAGCCGGCCUGAGAGGGUGACCGGCCACAUUGGGACUGAGAUACGGCCCAGACUCCUACGGGAGGCAGCAGUGGGGAAUAUUGCACAAUGGGCGGAAGCCUGAUGCAGCAACGCCGCGUGCGGGAUGACGGCCUUCGGGUUGUAAACCGCUUUCGCCUGUGACGAAGCGUGAGUGACGGUAAUGGGUAAAGAAGCACCGGCUAACUAUGUG
rnacentral:rRNA from 1 species